AUUGAACGCUGGCGGCAGGCCUAACACAUGCAAGUCGGGCGAACGGCGGACGGGUGAGUAAUGUAUGGGGAUCUGCCUGAUGGCGGGGGCUAACUACUGGCAACGGUAGCUAAUACCGCAUACCAUCAGAUGAACCCAUAGGGGAUUGGCUUGGAGGUGAGGUAACGGCUCACCUGGGCGACGAUCCCGAGCUGGGCUGAGCGGAUGAUCUGCCACACUGGGAUUGAGACACGGCCCAGACUCCUACGGGAGGCAGCAGUGGGGAAUAUUGCACAUUGGGCGCAAGCCUGAUGCAGCCAUGCCGCUUGUAUGAAGAAGGCCUUCGGGUUGUAAAGUACUUUCAGCUGGGAGGCGUUACCCGCAGAAGAAGCACCGGCUAACUCCGUGCCAGGCGCCGCGGUAAUUC
rnacentral:rRNA from 1 species